AUUGAACGCUGGCGGCAGGCCUAACACAUGCAAGUCUAGCGAGCGGCGGACGGGUGAGUAAUGUAGGGGGAUCUGCCCGAUAGAGGGGGAUAACUCCUGGAAACGGUGGCUCAUACCGCAUACUAUCGGUUGCACCCACAGGGGAUUAGCUAGUCGGUGGGGUAAAGGCGCACCUAGGCGACGAUCUCUAGCUGGUCUGAGAGGAUGAUCAGCCACACUGGGACUGAGACACGGCCCAGACUCCUACGGGAGGCAGCAGUGGGGAAUAUUGCACAAUGGGCGAAAGCCUGAUGCAGCCAUGCCGCGUGUAGGAAGAAGGCCUUAGGGUUGUAAAGUACUUUCAGCGGGGAGGCGUUACCCGCAUAAGAAGCACCGGCUAACUCCGUGCCAACAGCCGCGGUAAUAC
rnacentral:rRNA from 1 species